rnacentral:rRNA from 1 species
CGUACACUCCUACGGGAGGCAGCAGUGGGGAAUUUUACGCAAUGGGGGAAACCCUGACGUAGCGACACCGCGUGAGCGAAGAAGCCCUUUGGGGUGUAAAGCUCUGUCAGCUGGAACGAAAACAAUGACGGUACCAGCAGAGGAAGCAUCGGCUAACUACGUGCCAGCAGCCGCGGUAAGACGUAGGAUGCGAGCGUUGUCCGGAUUUAUUGGGCGUAAAGAGUUCGUAGGUGGUUUGUUAAGUUUGGUGUUAAAGAUCGGGGCUCAACCCUGGGACUGCACUGAAUACUGGCAGACUCGAGUGUGGUAGAGGCUAGUGGAAUUCCCAGUGUAGCGGUGAAAUGCGUAGAUAUUGGGAAGAACACCGGUGGCGUAGGCGACUAGCUGGGCCAUAACUGACGCUGAGGAACGAAAGCCAGGGGAGCGAAUGGGAUUAGAUACCCCUGUAGUCCCAUG